rnacentral:tRNA from 2 species
GGAGAGGUGGCCGAGCGGUUUAAGGCGCACGCUUGGAAAGCGUGUGUAGGCUUAUACCCUACCGAGGGUUCGAAUCCCUCCCUCUCCG